UGGGGAAUAUUGGACAAUGGGCGAGAGCCUGAUCCAGCAAUGCCGCGUGAGUGAUGAAGGCCUUAGGGUUGUAAAGCUCUUUUACCCGGGAUGAUAAUGACAGUACCGGGAGAAUAAGCCCCGGCUAACUCCGUGCCAGCAGCCGCGGUAAUACGGAGGGGGCUAGCGUUGUUCGGAAUUACUGGGCGUAAAGCGCACGUAGGCGGCUUUGUAAGUUAGAGGUGAAAGCCCGGAGCUCAACUCCGGAACUGCCUUUAAGACUGCAUCGCUUGAAUCAUGGAGAGGUUAGUGGAAUUCCGAGUGUAGAGGUGAAAUUCGUAGAUAUUCGGAAGAACACCAGUGGCGAAGGCGGCUCACUGGCCCGUUACCGACGCUCAGGCGCGACAGCGUGGGGAGCAAA
rnacentral:rRNA from 1 species